AGUGAACGCUAGCGGCGCGCCUAACACAUGCAAGUCGAGUGGGUUUAGACCCACGGCAAACGGCUGCGUAACACGUUGGAACCUGCCCCGAACUCAGGGAUAUCCCUCCGAAAGGAGGAGUAAUACCGGAUGCCCUCGGAAGAGGAAAGAUUUAUCGGUUCGGGAGGGGCCUGCGGCCUAUCAGCUCGUUGGUGAGGUAACGGCUCACCAAGGCAAUGACGGGUAGCUGAUCUGAGAGGAUGAUCAGCCAGAAUGGAACUGCGACACGGUCCAUACUCCUACGGGAGGCAGCAGUGAGGAAUCUUCCGCAAUGGACGAAAGUCUGACGGAGCGACGCCGCGUGGUGGAUGAAGGCCUUUACUGGUCGUAAACACCUGUUCUGAGGGACGAAAUUUUUGACGGUACCUCAGGAGAAAGUAUCGGCAAACCCUGUGC
rnacentral:rRNA from 1 species